AUUGAACGCUGGCGGCAUGCUUUACACAUGCAAGUCGGACGGCAGCACAGAGAAGCUUGCUUCUUGGGUGGCGAGUGGCGAACGGGUGAGUAAUAUAUCGGAACGUACCGAGUAAUGGGGGAUAACUAAUCGAAAGAUUAGCUAAUACCGCAUAUUCUCUGAGGAGGAAAGCAGGGGACCUUCGGGCCUUGCGUUAUUCGAGCGGCCGAUAUCUGAUUAGCUAGUUGGUGGGGUAAAGGCCUACCAAGGCGACGAUCAGUAGCGGGUCUGAGAGGAUGAUCCGCCACACUGGGACUGAGACACGGCCCAGACUCCUACGGGAGGCAGCAGUGGGGAAUUUUGGACAAUGGGCGCAAGCCUGAUCCAGCCAUGCCGCGUGUCUGAAGAAGGCCUUCGGGUUGUAAAGGACUUUUGUCAGGGAAGAAAAGGCCGUUGCUAAUAUCAAUAGCUGAUGACGGUACCUGAAGAAUAAGCACCGGCUAACUACGUG
rnacentral:rRNA from 1 species